UAGGGAAUCUUCGGCAAUGGACGAAAGUCUGACCGAGCAACGCCGCGUGAGUGAAGAAGGUUUUCGGAUCGUAAAACUCUGUUGUUAGAGAAGAACAAGGACGUUAGUAACUGAACGUCCCCUGACGGUAUCUAACCAGAAAGCCACGGCUAACUACGUGCCAGCAGCCGCGGUAACACGUAGGUGGCAAGCGUUGUCCGGAUUUAUUGGGCGUAAAGCGAGCGCAGGCGGUUUCUUAAGUCUGAUGUGAAAGCCCCCGGCUCAACCGGGGAGGGUCAUUGGAAACUGGGGGACUUGAGUGCAGAAGAGGAGAGUGGAAUUCCAUGUGUAGCGGUGAAAUGCGUAGAUAUAUGGAGGAACACCAGUGGCGAAGGCGGCUCUCUGGUCUGUAACUGACGCUGAGGCUCGAAAGCGUGGGGAGCAAACAGG
rnacentral:rRNA from 1 species